rnacentral:rRNA from 1 species
GGGGAAUAUUGCACAAUGGGCGGAAGCCUGAUGCAGCGACGCCGCGUGAGGGAUGACGGCCUUCGGGUUGUAAACCUCUUUCAGUAGGGAAGAAGCGAGAGUGACGGUACCUGCAGAAGAAGCGCCGGCUAACUACGUGCCAGCAGCCGCGGUAAUACGUAGGGCGCAAGCGUUGUCCGGAAUUAUUGGGCGUAAAGAGCUCGUAGGCGGUUUGUCGCGUCUGCUGUGAAAGCCCGGGGCUCAACCCCGGGUCUGCAGUGGGUACGGGCAGACUAGAGUGCAGUAGGGGAGACUGGAAUUCCUGGUGUAGCGGUGAAAUGCGCAGAUAUCAGGAGGAACACCGAUGGCGAAGGCAGGUCUCUGGGCUGUGACUGACGCUGAGGAGCGAAAGCAUGGGGAGCGAAC